UACGGAGGGGGCUAGCGUUGUUCGGAAUUACUGGGCGUAAAGCGCGCGUAGGCGGACCUGCAAGUCAGGGGUGAAAUGCCAAGGCUCAACCUUGGAACUGCCUUUGAUACUGGAGAUCUUGAGUCCGGGAGAGGUGAGUGGAAUUGCGAGUGUAGCGGUGAAAUGCGUAGAUAUCGUAAGGAAGACCAGUGGCGAAGGCGGCUACCUGGACAAUUGCUGACGCUCAGGCACGAAAGCGUGGGGAGCAAAAGGG
rnacentral:rRNA from 1 species